AACCACAGGCCCUGCUAGCCCAAACACACAAACAAACCCAGUUGGCCCUAACUGAACACCUCGGGUGUCCGGCGACCGGAGCGCCUUCACUGCUCGGUCCGCCAUGGCGUCCCUCGUCCCCCGGCUCCUUGGCCGCCGGACUCUGCACCCCGCCGUCGCUCUACGCUCUCCACGCGAUGCUUGGAUGCGAUUCCACGGCGCAAAUCCCCCACGCCCCUGCCCGCUGUUCCGGCCUUCCCUGGGGGUUGAUGGAUGCGCGGGAGCUGCGCGGAGAUGGUGGUUUCUCUCGCCGGUAAGGCACCGGAGCACGGCGGUGACGCUGAACACGGACGGUGGCUUUGCGCGGUUCUCGGUCGGAGAUCUGGACACGAAGCAGAAUGGAGUGCAGAAUCAGCCGCCGGCGAAGAAGAAGAUGUCCAAGAAGUCCAAGGUCAACCAGCUCAAGUGGUUCCGCCUCAAGGCCAAAAAGAAGAUGAAGUCGCCCAACCCCGAAGUCAGGAUAAGAUACAAGCUCGGAAAGGCCAAGAGGAAAGAAGAAUGGCUGAUUGAGAAACUCAGGAAGUACGAGGCCCCGAGGGCUCCAGAGCCGGUUCACGACCCUGAGAUUCUGACCGAGGAGGAGAAGUUCUAUCUGAAACGGACUGGGGAGAAGAAAAAGAACUAUGUUCCUGUUGGGAGGAGAGGGGUGUUUGGUGGUGUGGUUCUCAACAUGCACCUCCACUGGAAGAAGCAUGAGACUAUGCAAGUAGUCUGCAAGCCCUGUCGACCUGGGCAAGUGUAUGAGUACGCAGAGGAGCUGGCGAGGCUCAGCAAAGGGACAGUUAUUGAUAUUAAACCUAAUAAUACCAUUAUCUUUUAUCGUGGAAAGAAUUAUGUGCAGCCAAAGGUUAUGUCACCUCCUGAUACUCUUUCUAAGCAGAAGGCCUUGGAGAAAUAUAGGUAUGAACAGUCUCUUGAACAUACCAGUAAAUUUAUUGAGCAGCUGGAACAGGAGCUUGAAGAUUACCAGAAGCAUGUUGCUUUAUUUAAGAAGCGUGAAGGGGCUAUUUCUGAGCAAAUCAGUAAUGAAGACUCUGCUGUGGAUGACCUCACAACUAGCUCAGAUACCGAUUGAAUUGCCUUCUUCCUCAAUUGACAUCUCAUAUUCUUUCCGCAAUGAAGCCCUUGUGUAGGGUUCUCAUGCUUCCUCAUAAAAUGGAAAAAGGGACAGUUAGUAGUUCAAGAGCUAUUAUACUGCUGGAGUACCAUGAACCCAGAGGAGCAAUACCUAUGAGGAAUCAAGUACCAUAAACAUAUUUAUGGGAUGCUCACAUUGAGAGUUAGUAAAGUUUAUGGUUUGAAGAUUUAAGGUAGUAGUGGAUGCUGAUGGUGGAGGAGAUGAGUUGAACUUUUUGAGAGAGAUGGGCUUGCUUGUUGCUUCAAUACUGAAAAAUCAACUUGGGUUAUCUGCUGCAAAGGAAGCCUCUCAAAUGGAAACUGUGAAGACCUGGAGACGUAAUGGAUGCCCAUCAGGGAUUUCUGAACCAUUGAAAUGAGAGCAUACUGGUUAUUCUAUAUGUAGGAUGAUUUCUUGGAUCAUCUAUCUGUGCUCUGCAUGGAAUUUGCUGCUUCACAAGCUUUUGGUCUUCUUCACUCGAGAGAUUAACAGAUUAUAAAUGGACGAAGUCCUUAUCUGCAUGUAAAUGUAAACUAGUUGUGCUUUCUCAUAUAAUUGGUGUUGGUUUUUCCUUUUCUUCUACGAAGCUUAUCAAGAAGAUUGCAAUUCUAUUAGAAGAGAAUAACACCGGUUAGUUAUCAGUA